GAGAGAGCUUAGAUUUUGAACCAGGCCCAGCUAUGUACUUUUAGCCAGAGGUAUGCAUUAAUUAGUUAUAUAAACAGACGCUAGCAUGAUUAGAAAUGACUUUUGGGUGGGUCACUUGGACUGUUAGAGGCUACAUGUGUAGUACUGCUCCAGCACACAGUGAAACGUAAAGUUUAAGCAUGACAGUUAAACACACACACACACACGGAUUGCCCUCCAGUGGCUAAGAAUGAUAGCAUUCAUGGUCGCUGUAAAGAUAACAUCAGAGCCCGAAGAGGAUUUUAUGUAUGACAAAUAGUGUGAUUGUUUUCUCUAGUUUCUAGUCGGUCUACAAGUUAGUUGUGCCUUAAUACAAGACUGAAUCUUUCGGAUAGCAUUGAAAAGGCUUUUUUGUUUGCAAAUACUCUGCACUGCCCUUAUAGCCUCUCUGUGAAUGAUGGAUUCUGACAUCACCAUCACACUGGUUGAAUCACAUGGCUGGGAAGAUGUUUGGCACCAGGACACUCACCAGACACACCAACCUCAUCAUCUGCGGAGGAAGGCCGGAACAAGCCGGACCAUCCCCAAGGCCUCUGAAACUUUUGGUCUUGUUAAAAGACGCUUAGCUAAGAAUUAUGUGCCAAGUGAAAAGGGGGUGUUUGUGCUGCUUGCUUCCCCCCAGUACAUUCACUUGAACAAUCUGCUUUCAGGGGGGAUCCAGAUCGGAACCAAAGAUUGGUGGACCAGUGUGACUAUUGGGGAUCGUGGGGUGAUUGGGGGGGAUGUAAUGAGUCCCUGUCCACAUAAAGACAUGAUUAUUCCCUCUCUUGGCAAGGGCAGCUGAUGGCAGGACUGGUCAGACACUGGACUCAGUAUUCUUCAGUCUUAUUAGACGAGGUCCUCUCCCCUCCUGGUCACAGCGUCGAGCUUGUUUGUUUUUUUGGGGAGCACUGUGGGAAAGUCAUUAAAGUGUAAUUUAUUUAUUUCAUUCUGAGGGAAAAGAAAGAGCGAGAUGAUGAGAUCCUGCGCUGUUUUCCAACAAUAUGGCAUCCAUUCAAUCCAUCUCUACUGGGAAGAAUGCAUACACUGCAUUGUUUGAUCUGUGCUCCUCGUCCGCUCUCAAAGACCAGCUUUCACUGAUAUUUCAUUACAGCGCUGCUUCCUUCCAACAGAGCCCAUCAAAUCAUCAUUUAUUUAAGUGGCUGCUCUACACACCUGUUGCAUAACCCAUCUUUAUGAUCUAAUGGAGGCUAUUAAAAGCUUGUCACCAGCUAUUUAGCCCCUUUACUGCUCAGCAAUUGAGAACAAAGUGCUUUUCAAGUGUCAAGCAGGUGAAUUCAGGAACUUUGGCCCUCUUGUGCAAAGAAAGACAUCCCAUCAGCAGUGGAGGUUAAACAGGGAUUGGACAAAAUUGCUUCAGAGGUGUUGAAGAAAAGAAUCAGCUUCUCACUCUUCUCUCCAAAACUGUGCAGACUGGUUUCAUAAUAUAGAAAGGUGUCAUUAAAUGCAUUUUAAAAAAUAUUUUAUAAUGUUUCCUGAGGUAAGGGUUUUUACAUUAGUGUUUUUUUUUUAUCAAAAAUUGUCAUAAUUAACAUAUAAAUGGUCAUUUUCUACCCUGAUUUUAGCUCUCUGAUUUGAAUGGUCAGUUGGAAGGUUCGUGUGUGCUGUGAUUGGCUAGAAUCUUUGAAUAUGAAAUUAGCAUUACAUGUGAUAAGGAAUACUAUGAACCAUGAUGAUCAUGAAAUGCAUUUUCAGAUUUUUAUACGUAACUUGGGGUUAGUUAACAAAGUAACAGUAGUAUCAGUUUUGUGAUUGGUGGACAGACAUGAGAUUAAACCUCCUUGAUCACAUAUGACAAUGACGCAUGUUAAGGGACAUGUCAAGCCUGCUAUUCUUCUUCGCUGAUAAAGUCUUGCCAUGCUUUGUGUGCACAGUCAUAAACGUAAAGACUGUAGUUCUUAAAACACCAAACAAUUGGGCCUUUAAGGUUACAGACCUUGUAUUAAACACUGCUGAACCCAACUGGUACUAAACUGAUAUACAACCUAGGGAGUAUAGAUAAUGUUAAGAUGAAUUAAAGAUAAUGACAACAUCUGUUUGUUCACUGUAGGCUAUACACAAAUCAAGUUAUGCAUCGAUUCACAUAAUAUUAUCAUCUAAAUGUAUUUGGAUUUGAUUGCUGAUCCAGAUGAUUGCACAUUUCAGUCUAAAUAUUCUGGCAAAAAAGGGCAUUUAUGAGAAGAGAAUGGGCAUCUUUUUCAAAAUACAGCUGUGAACCAGUUUGAUGCAGUUUGAUUCUUAGAUUUGUAUGCAUCACAUCAUAUCCGCGCUGUGGUGGAGGCCUCUGCUGGUGAGCAGUAGUAAUGCAACUUGUUUACCAUCCCAUCCAAUUCAAGAGACUGCCAAAGCUCUCCUAGUGAAUGAAGUGCCAGUGCACCACUUUUGUUGAGCUAAAUAUUAAGCUAAAUGAUCGAUAAUUCAACCCAUGCUGUCAUCCUGUUUCCAUAAAACAUUUGGAACCGUUCUCUAAGUUAAUAUUGGAUCAAUGAACUGAGUACAAAUAAACAUGUUCUGCAAAUGUGGACUUAACUUUUA
ensembl:lncRNA